UACGGAGGAUGCGAGCGGUAUCCGGAUUUAUUGGGUUUAAAGGGUGCGUAGGCGGGUUAUCAAGUCAGCGGUAAAAUCGUGGAGCUCAACUCCAUCCAGCCGUUGAAACUGAUGAUCUUGAGUGGGCGAGAAGUAUGCGGAAUGCGUGGUGUAGCGGUGAAAUGCAUAGAUAUCACGCAGAACUCCGAUUGCGAAGGCAGCAUACCGGCGCCCGACUGACGCUGAAGCACGAAAGCGUGGGUAUCGAACAGG
rnacentral:rRNA from 1 species